AACAAUUUGUCCUUUGACGCAUAUGUAUUUUGGUUAACUUUCUCCAAUGAACUUUUAAACGUGGACUUAUUAAAGAUAGAUAUGCAUCAUGCAUGUCUCUUCCACGUUGAUAUUUUGCAAAGUCAGGAGAAUCUCUUCCUUAUGAUGUUGCAUGUCAUUUUAGAAGAAAAAAAAAUUUGUUGGUUACAAAAGAAAUAAUAACGGAUUAUUUCAGUCACUCUACUACAAUUUGGCUUCCAAAAGUUAUAAAGUGACCGAAUAUUAAAAAAAGCAUAAACUAAUCCUAAAAUAAGUAAGAAAAUAUUAUUUCUUUAUAGGGAAAAUGAAACUAACUAGUUUACAAAAAAAAAAAUGAAACUAACUCUCCACUUUUUCUCUUGAUCUUAUGUUCACCUGUCACGUUACCGGUACGUGGCUUAUCGAUCAGGAAAUGCCCAGAUACUGAGCCCACCUCUCACAAGUCACAAGUCACGCCUCCAACAUUUAUUUC
rnacentral:lncRNA from 1 species